GCCUCUCUCCUGCGGGCAAAGACUGAUUUCAGCAGGGUUGGACGUGGAGCAUGAAUGCUUGGCACCCGGCCCCGAGUGGGCGUUCCUUUUCCAGGAACGAGCCCGCUGCCCGAGGUCACUUCUGCAGUGUCUGGUUUCUUUAAACAGGUUACAAAGACCUCAACUCUAGGGCACGACGUAGAGGAAAAGGGAAUCUGUUCAGGACACAGAUGCCGACGUCAGAUCUCGUUGCCUUUUGGCCGAGCCGGUGCAAAAUGCAAGAUCUGAGUCCUGAGGUCUUUUUGGUACCAAACCAAACUGAGCAUCCUGAAGCUUCGUCCCAUGUUAGGUGGGUCUAGGAACAUUCAAGCUCUCAUGAAAAUGAUUGCAGGGCCUUUGACUGUGCGCAGGGACUGCAAGUGUCCACAACAGCUCCAGCCACCCCUUUAGGGUUCAUCUGAAGUCA